AUUGAACGCUGGCGGCAGGCCUAACACAUGCAAGUCGAACGAGUGGCGGACGGGUGAGUAAUGUCUGGGAAACUGCCUGAUGGAGGGGGAUAACUACUGGAAACGGUAGCUAAUACCGCAUACCAUCGGAUGUGCCCAGAUGGGAUUAGCUAGUAGGUGGGGUAAAGGCUCACCUAGGCGACGAUCCCUAGCUGGUCUGAGAGGAUGACGAGCCGCACUGGAACGGAGACACGGUCCAGGCUCCUACGGAAGGUAGCAUUAGGGAAUAUGGCACAAGGGGCGCAAGCCUGAUGAAGCCAUGCCAAGUGUAUGAAGAAGGCCUUCGGGUUGUAAAGUACUUUCAGCGGGGAGGCGGUACCCGCAGAAGAAGUAACGGCUAACUCCGUGCCAGCAGCCGCGGUAAUAC
rnacentral:rRNA from 1 species